rnacentral:tRNA from 1 species
GGGGCUGUAGCUUAGUGGCAAGAGCACUUGCCUAACAUGUAUGAGACACUGGGUUGGAUCCCUACUACCUCA